UCAGUCUGCUCCCAGCCUUCGGUCGUGACUGGUGUAGGCUGACGUGCCUCGAUCUCCUUAAGUGACCGUGUGAUUAGACUUGGAAUUUGGUGGAGUAUUUGGUGAACAGGUUUAUGAGGUGAAAAAAAACGUGGAAUAUUUCCCACCAGGUCCAGUACAAGGCUGACUGGAAAAGCACGUAAACUGUUGUGUGGAUAUACACGAAAAUAGAAAAAAAAUUACAUAUGCAGAAAAAAAACUGUAAAUAAUAAAACAGGAUAACGAAAAACGAUAAAUCUAAAUAAAUUAAGAAUUGACAUAUAUAAUUAAUUAAUGAGAAAGCAGAAACCUAGAUUAAAAAAGAUGAAAGGAAAGAAACCCAACAACUAGUGAACACAUGUCAAAUGAAACAAUGGAAGAUGAACACAAGGAGAAACAGCAAAACAAGAAUAAAAUGGAAGUAAAAAUUAUACCUAAAUAGACAUUCAUGAAAUAUAAGAAGAGGUACAGUAAAAUAUAUUGAGGGGAAAUAUUGCUUAUUAAUACAUGUAUAGUGUCAUGAAGUGUGUUGAUUAGUGAACAGUAGUGUGAUGAACAGUGCCAUGAGGAUCAACGCUGCAUAGAGUGUAGAUAAGUAGAUAAAGGAGAACGUAAGUCAUGUCUCUUCUGACUUCUCUCAACUCCAGUGCAUUCUUUCUCCUCAUCCAACUCACACUUAAUGUGGUGGUGGUGGUGGAGGGGGACGAGCAGGAGUACCGCCUCACUCGGUACCUAAUGGCGAACUACGACUCCUCAGUCCGGCCGGCAGCCAACUCCUCCGAGGCCCUCUCCAUCGUCUUCGGAGUCUCCUUACACAGUAUUAUCGACGUGGACGAGAAGAACCAGAUACUGACUACUAACUGCUGGUUGACGCAUGUGUGGGCCGACGCCCAUCUCACUUGGAAUGCUUCUGAUUUCGGUGGGAUUCAAGUCAUCAGAGUGCCUUAUCAGCGGGUGUGGAAGCCAGAUAUUAUCCUCUAUAACAAUGCGGACGCCCAGUAUUCAGCGGCCACCAUCAACACGAACGUCAUAGUCACAGCGGCCGGUCAGGUAACGUGGCUAUCUCACGGCAUUUAUCGUUCAUCAUGCGACAUGAACGUCGAAUACUUCCCGUUCGACAUCCAGUCGUGCAAGAUGAUGUGGGCCUCGUGGACCUACGACGGGUAUCAGCUGGACUUGGUCAAGCAGAUGGAAUCUGGGGACAUGUCUAACUAUCAGUCCAACGGAGAGUUUGACCUGCUGGAGUUCACCGCCUCAAAGAAUAUUACCUACUAUUCUUGCUGCCCUGAACCUUACCCAGACAUUACCUUUACCAUCAAGCUCCGCCGGCGUCCCAUGUUCUAUGUCUUCAAUCUCAUCCUACCCUGCGUCCUUAUCAACGGGAUAGCUCUAUUGGUGUUCUAUGUGCCUAGUGAAUCAGGAGAGAAGGUGACUCUAGGCAUCUCUGCUCUACUCUCUAUGACAGUCUUCCUAAUGACCAUUCGCGAGUCUCUACCUCCUACGGAGAAGACGCCUCUUAUCAGUAUGUACUACGGGGUGACCAUAUGCCUGGUGAGUCUGGCAUCAGGUCUGGCAGUAGUGACACUCAACAUUCAUCACCGAGGAGUGAGAGGCACCGAAGUGCCUCGACUCGUCAAGAGGCUCGUCCUUGGAGGUCUCUCCCGGUUCCUGUUCCUCCACUUUCACCCGGCGGGGAUUGAGGACAAGAAGAUACACCUUAAUGACCUGAGACCAGAAAUGGGAGUGAGACUGGACUCCAUUAGUGCCCAAAAGUUCCACAGGUCUGACCUGGACAGCGUCGACCUGUACAACACCUCGCCAAGGUUCGUGCCCCGUCGACACAACGCCUCCAACUACGAUUCCAUGCCCUUGCCUACGACAACAGCCAUGCACCCAUCAGAUUUUGAACACCAGUUCAUUCGGGUGUUGAACAAAGUGUACCAGACGAUUGAGAAGAACGAGAUGAGACUCGCUGAACAAGACAGAAAGGAGACAACUCGCGUCGAAUGGCAACAGGUGGCUCUGGUAUUCGAUCGGCUGCUGCUCUUCUGCUUCCUGCUGUCGACAGUAGUGGCCACCACCACCAUACUCUUCUCCUCUCCUCACGGGCCCUGAUGACCCAACCUGCUCCACCACCGAGACUCUCCUCAACGUUGAAAAUACAAAGGAUGGUACCAGUAUGGCUUCUCACCACUAAGCUGUAGACCACUACGACAGGUGCUUCCACACUACCAACAGACAGGUGCUAAGCUUCCUCACUACCAACAGACAGGUGCUAAGCUUCCACACUACCAACAGACAGGUGCUAAGCUUCCUCACUACCAACAGACAGGUGCUAAGCUUCCUCACUACCAACAGACAGGUGCUAAGCUUCCUCACUACCAACAGACAGGUGCUAAGCUUCCUCACUACCAACAGACAGGUGCUAAGCUUCCUCACUACCAACAGACAGGUGCUAAGCUUCCUCACUACCAACAGACAGGUGCUAAGCUUCCUCACUACCAACAGACAGGUGCUAAGCUUCCUCACUACCAACAGACAGGUGUUAAGCUUCCACACUACCAACAGAACCACAACUAACACCACUAUAACAACAACUACAAGCAUCACCACAAUCAUAACCACUUAGAUCGCCACCUCCAAUUCAACCACAACCACCACAACCCCAGCAACCAUUAGCACACAUGCAACACCAACCAAUACUAACUACCACUUCCCCUUCACAACCAACUAACAACCCUCUAUCAUCAUAACAACGGAAUAACCAUUAACAAACCAGAAAUUAAUAACGUGAAAGCAUCAGGUUAUUUAGUAUACUAACAACAUACUUAUGAUUCUUGAAGAUAACAAGCAGUUUGAUCAUUAACAAUGCAAUAGCAUCAAUUAACAGUGCACUAACGUUAAUUAACAGCCCAUUAACAUUAACUGGGCACUAGCAUCAAUUUACAGUGCCCUAACAUUAACUGGGCACUAGCAUCAGUUAACAGUGCAGUAACGUUAAUUAACAGCCCACUAACAUUAACUGGGCACUAGCAUCAGUUAACAGUGCACUAACAAACAGGUAACAGUGCACUAAAAUUAUCAACAGUGCAAUAACGACAAUUAAGCAUCUAUUAACAAUGUAUAUUCCACUAACAUCCCCCAAAAGACUCACUAACUCUCCACAAUCUAACAAUCUCUAACAAUCUAACAGUCAUAUAUAUUGAGUAUACAAACAAUAUAUAUAUAUAUAUAAAUGUAUAUUUUGUAAUAAAUUGUACAUAUGAA